rnacentral:rRNA from 1 species
GACGAACGCUGGCGGCGUGCCUAAUACAUGCAAGUCGAACGCUUCUUUUUCCACCGGAGCUUGCUCCACCGGAAAAAGAGGAGUGGCGAACGGGUGAGUAACACGUGGGUAACCUGCCCAUCAGAAGGGGAUAACACUUGGAAACAGGUGCUAAUACCGUAUAACAAUCAAAACCGCAUGGUUUUGAUUUGAAAGGCGCUUUCGGGUGUCGCUGAUGGAUGGACCCGCGGUGCAUUAGCUAGUUGGUGAGGUAACGGCUCACCAAGGCCACGAUGCAUAGCCGACCUGAGAGGGUGAUCGGCCACAUUGGGACUGAGACACGGCCCAAACUCCUACGGGAGGCAGCAGUAGGGAAUCUUCGGCAAUGGACGAAAGUCUGACCGAGCAACGCCGCGUGAGUGAAGAAGGUUUUCGGAUCGUAAAACUCUGUUGUUAGAGAAGAACAAGGAUGAGAGUAACUGUUCAUCCCUUGACGGUAUCUAACCAGAAAGAAAAGGAUAAAUAAGUGAAAGAAGAAGAGGUAAGAA